rnacentral:rRNA from 1 species
AUGAAGCUGGGCGCUUGCGCCUGGUGGAUUAGUGGCGAACGGGUGAGUAAUACGUGAGUAACCUGCCCCCUACUUCGGGAUAAGCCUUGGAAACGGGGUCUAAUACCGGGUAUACCGGCUUCACCGCAUGGUGGGGUUGGGAAAGUUUUUUCGGUGGGGGAUGGGCUCGCGGCCUAUCAGCUUGUUGGUGGGGUGAUGGCCUACCAAGGCGUCGACGGGUAGCCGGCCUGAGAGGGUGACCGGCCACAUUGGGACUGAGACACGGCCCAGACUCCUACGGGAGGCAGCAGUGGGGGAUAUUGCACAAUGGGCGAAAGCCUGAUGCAGCGACGCCGCGUGAGGGAUGAAGGCUUUCGGGUUGUAAACCUCUUUCAGUACGGAAGAAGGCCAGCUUUGUGUUGGUGGACGGUACGUGCAGAAGAAGCGCCGGCUAACUACGUGCCAGCAGCCGCGGUAAUACGUAGGGCGCGAGCGUUGUCCGGAAUUAUUGGGCGUAAAGAGCUCGUAGGCGGCUUGUCGCGUCUGCUGUGAAAACGCGGGGCUUAACUCCGCGCGUGCAGUGGGUACGGGCAGGCUAGAGUGCGGUAGGGGUGACUGGAAUUCCUGGUGUAGCGGUGGAAUGCGCAGAUAUCAGGAGGAACACCGAUGGCGAAGGCAGGUCACUGGGCCGUUACUGACGCUGAGGAGCGAAAGCAUGGGGAGCGAACAGGAUUAGAUACCCUGGUAGUCCAUGCCGUAAACGUUGGGAACUAGGUGUGGGGUCCUUUCCACGGAUUCUGCGCCGUAGCUAACGCAUUAAGUUCCCCGCCUGGGGAGUACGGCCGCAAGGCUAAAACUCAAAGGAAUUGACGGGGGCCCGCACAAGCGGCGGAGCAUGCGGAUUA